rnacentral:rRNA from 1 species
GACGAACGCUGGCGGCGUGCUUAACACAUGCAAGUCGAACGGAAAGGCCCUGCUUUUGUGGGGUGCUCGAGUGGCGAACGGGUGAGUAACACGUGAGUAACCUGCCCUUGACUUUGGGAUAACUUCAGGAAACUGGGGCUAAUACCGGAUAGGAGCUCCUGCUGCAUGGUGGGGGUUGGAAAGUUUCGGCGGUUGGGGAUGGACUCGCGGCUUAUCAGCUUGUUGGUGGGGUAGUGGCUUACCAAGGCUUUGACGGGCAGCCGGCCUGAGAGGGUGACCGGCCACAUUGGGACUGAGAUACGGCCCAGACUCCUACGGGAGGCAGCAGUGGGGAAUAUUGCAUAAUGGGCGGAAGCCUGAUGCAGCAACGCCGCGUGCGGGAUGACGGCCUUCGGGUUGUAAACCGCUUUCGCCUGUGACGAAGCGUGAGUGACGGUAAUGGGUAAAGAAGCACCGGCUAACUACGUG